rnacentral:rRNA from 1 species
UACGUAGGUGGCAAGCGUUGUCCGGAUUUAUUGGGUUUAAAGGGUGCGUAGGCGGCUUUGUAAGUCAGUGGUGAAAUAUGGCAGCUCAACUGUCAGGGUGCCAUUGAUACUGCGGAGCUUGAGUACAGAUGAGGUAGGCGGAAUUGACGGUGUAGCGGUGAAAUGCUUAGAUAUCGUCAAGAACACCGAUAGCGAAUGCAGCUUACUGGGCUGUAACUGACGCUGAGGCACGAAAGUGUGGGGAUCAAACAGG